rnacentral:rRNA from 1 species
CCUACGGGAUGCAGCAGUGAGGAAUAUUGGUCAAUGGACGGAAGUCUGAACCAGCCAUGCCGCGUGCAGGAAGACGGCUCUAUGAGUUGUAAACUGCUUUUGUACAAGGGUAAACCCGAAUACGUGUAUUCAGCUGAAAGUACUGUACGAAUAAGGAUCGGCUAACUCCGUGCCAGCAGCCGCGGUAAUACGGAGGAUCCAAGCGUUAUCCGGAUUUAUUGGGUUUAAAGGGUGCGUAGGCGGAUUGAUAAGUUAGAGGUGAAAUGUCCGAGCUUAACUCGGGAACUGCCUCUAAUACUGUUGAUCUAGAGAGUAGAUGCGGUAGGCGGAAUGUAUGGUGGAGCGGGGAAAUGCUUAGAGAUCAUACAGAACACCGAUUGCGAAGGCAGCUUACCAAUCUAUAUCUGACGUUGAGGCACGAAAGCGUGGGGAGCAAACAGGAUUAGAUACCCCAGUAGUC